AUUUAAGAACCGUCUCAGUGAAGGAGCUGUCUAUGCAUUUGAGCGGUUUUGAUGUCUCGCGCAACAACCCCAACUUCCGCUUGUAUGAUGAGUCGCUCUCCAUAAGGUUCAAUGAUGGAACCUCUUUUGAUAAGCUACCAGAGUCUGUUAGUCCCAUACCUACCGAGCUGUUCCGAUUCUGUUCAUACAAUCAAUUGCUUGAACUGGCAAACACAUGCAAACAGCUCCCUGACAUACUUGGGAGUUAACUGCAAUCAGGAGUACAAUCACUGAUCGUAUACCUGGGGCACGUCGUGUGAUGCUCACUCUGCGUCUACAAAGUGGUGAUAGCGUUUGUGUCAGUUUUUUUUACUCUAUGGUGCUUGCGUUUCAUAGCAAAUUUGAUAGCUACGGGAAAGAGCCGAGACUUGUGCUUGCCACAGGCGUAAAUCCUAAGAUAGUAGGGGGUCGGUUAUUCCUGAAUGCUACAUCCGCCACCCAUCUCUACUUCGACUCUGAGACAGCUGUAGGAAAAUAAUUUUUUGACAAGCAAGUCCUAUCUUUCCGACAAGAUAAACAAAAUUUGUCUGCAUAGAGUACAUUUGUAUUUCAUGAUAACUAGGUGAUCGGCCCGCACCUUGUGCAAGGCAUAAGAACAUGACCGGCCCGCAUCCUGUGUUCCCUCUCGGUCCGCACCUCACGAGAGGAAACACAAUAACGUCAGUAUGAAGAGGGAGAUAUUGUGUGUAUGUAUAAUUGUAACAUCACUAAAUAUUUUGUGUGUUUACGAAGAUAAUUUCAUUCAAAAAAUGGAAUAAAGAGUAUAUAGUUUUAGAAGUAACAGAUUUUAUAUUAUCAUUAAUUAGAAUUGUAUUGUACAUGUAUCGUAAUUCUUUAUUUUAGGUGAAUAAUAUUAUUUUUCCAUAAAUAAUAAACAAACAUUUAUGUAGAUAUAUUAAAAGAAAAUAUAAUAAAAAUCGAAAUAUUAUCCAUAAAUAAUAUAAAUUAUAAAGUACAUUUUUCGAUAAAAAAAGCAAAUUCAAUUAGAAACCUACAAAAAAUUAUAUCUACCAAGUUCUUCUGUCUGCAUGCAGAUGAAGCAAACAUCAAUAAAUUAAACAAUUCUUUCAUAUUUGAAAAACAUGUAUAUAUAUAUAUAUAUAUAUAUAUAUAUAUAUAACAAUGACAAAUUAAAUGGUAGAGUAUGUAAACACCUGUUUUCUACCAGCAUGAGUUAGAACACCGCCGUAUUUAAGAAUCAUAAGGGCCUCUACAGGUCUUUCUUCUUCGCCUUCACCUUCCCACUUCAGCGGCUUCAGUUGAACCUUCAUGUAUAUCCCCGAGAAAUUUCCUCCCUGCGCCAUUCCAAAAGGUUCUCUGCUGUGAGAAAAUGACCUCAUGAAUUAAAUAAAAAAUGCAUAAUGCUAGCUUACUUAUAAAAUAGUAUAUUCAACAAAAAAAUGAAAUAAGAUAGUAUUACUAAAUGAUACUAUGUAAUACUUUCCCCGGACUAUAUUCAACAAAAAAAGAGAAAGUACUAAAGAACCUCUUUAAGAACUGCUUUAACUUGGCGAAGCUUCUCAGCAUGUUCAAGGUCUCCUGGAUCACUAUCACUCUCACGACCUGGUCUACAUAUAAAAAAAGGAAGACCAUAUUGUCGUUACCAGUAUUCAACACAUGAAAAAAAUAGACCAGACAUGAUUUUUGGAGACAAGACACAAAGAGUUGAGUUCAAGAUUCUAAAGAUGAGGAGCCUUUGCGUCUAAACACAUUUUUCUUACCA